AAAGUCGUAACAAGGUCUCCGUUGGUGAACCAGCGGAGGGAUCAUUAUAGGGGCUUCUCCUCCUAAAACCGACCGCGAACAUACCUGAAUCAAAUGCUCCGGCAGGCCCGCCCCGGGGAGGGGCGGUUAGGGUUAAGCGCCUGCCGGAGCGCUCUGUACAGCUCGUUAUAGUUCUCUGAGUAGCCCCAAAAAAAAGAAUCACAACUCUCAACAAUGGAUCUCUUGGCUCCG
rnacentral:misc_RNA from 1 species